rnacentral:snoRNA from 1 species
CGCCAAGGUGAUUCCCUCUUCAAGGAGCUAACUAGUGCCGCUCUCAGGAACAUGGCAACUUGGAAGAAAACCUGGCAUGCCUGAAGUCAUUGCAGAACAAGGGAUGCUUAUUUGCUUUGCCUACCUUUGACUGCCUACAUAU